rnacentral:lncRNA from 1 species
UGGAAUGGGGAACUACAGACCAAAAUUCUCACUGUGCCUCCAUCCAAGACCUCACUGGCCAGCCCCCUUUCCAACAUAUCUCCUUUGCAGAAAGGGGCUCAGAUGAGGAGGAGAAAUGAUUUGAAGAAAAAGGCAAGAUGCUCUCUUUCCAUUCCAGUGAGAGCUGCACUCAAAGCUCAAGUAAGACCUUGGGCUGUUCUUAUGAAGGUUGCAAAGAGGGGUGGAAUCAAGGAUACUAAGCUGUAUGUCUUUGAUAGGAGUUUAUUUUGUAAUUGAGGACAGGAAAUGGAUUACAGCCCUCAGGUGGCUUUGAGAAAUGUGGUGAUGAUCUCCUGGAACUGUAUUCUUCCCACUCACUUUUGACGCUGGCUGAACAGCAUCAGUUGAGAAAAUGACCCACAAAUAUGAGUCAGAAAUAGAUUAUGGGACUCUGGGUCUACAGAGAGGUGAAUCACCCGAACUCCCUUUUCCACUAGGACCAGACCGCAAUCCAAAUGGGAAAUAGAAUUCCAAGAAAACUAAGCUCAAAACCAGAAACAGCAAUGCUAGAUCAAGUAAGACUUGACUCUCCCAAGGUGAGAAGGGACAGGAUAUAGAUUAACACAGUCUCCCCUGGGAAAGAAACUGAGAGCGUUUUUGAAUGCAGCACUUUACAGAUCCUGGGCGCUGGAGCACAGAGGAGAGCUGAGUUUUUGUGGAAACCUCAUCUCUAGUGUAUCAAAAAUGGACUAAGGCUUCCAAGGUGUUCAGUUGGAGGCACUCACACACACUCCAUUUUUAUCAACAGAAUCAGAGUCCAGCUCAGAUGAGCAGAAGAAAUGAAGAAAAAAAAUAAUUUCAAGGACACCUGACAAGAUAGAGCAGGUAGAGAGUCUUGCUUUUUUAUCCUAACAGACAAGCAAGACAAGCAAGGCUUGGGUAAGAAGGGGUCUUCUUGGUGGUUGAAAGAAUUUUAGAGAUCCUGGCAUUCAGAGAGCAUCUGGGGACCCAGGAGCGAACUCAAUCUCACUUUAUUAGGCAGGCUGAGGGAGCUGGCAAGUGGGAGGUGACAAGUGGGGGUCACCUGAAUGUGCAUGGGAAGGUUCUGGAAUGAGCUUCUGUGUGAACUAUUGUGGUGAAUCUUUAACUCACGUGCUUUCUCCACAGGAAAGAGUCUAGGAUAUGAGCACAGCUUGACUUUGAAAAAGAAAGCAAAGGACUCUGAGGAUGGACACAGUAGCAAAUUAAGAAGACCAGUGAUGCCCACCAUAAGAGACCCUCAAGGGGUGCCACUGGGCACAGCAAGCAGCCCAGAUCUUGGUUACCGAGAGACCAACCACCACCACUUCAAAAGACUGGUGACUCCCUGCAUGCUAUUUCUGAGGGCGUUAUCAAGACCCAGUCCAGGUAUGGGCAGAGGUGCAUUCUCACCUGAUGUGGAAGUAGCUUUCUUCCCAGAUUCAGGGGCUUCUGGGCACUGUGCUGGAGGCAUUCUACACCAUGACUACCCAGGUAGCCUGUGUCUUCCCUGAUGAUGAAUGGCUCAUCCCAGUCACACUGCCUGGUCCCAGGGAGACAUCCCUG